rnacentral:rRNA from 1 species
AUUGAACGCUGGCGGCAUGCCUUACACAUGCAAGUCGAACGGUAACAGGUCUUCGGAUGCUGACGAGUGGCGAACGGGUGAGCAAUACAUCGGAACGUGCCUAGUGGUGGGGGAUAACUACUCGAUAGAGUGGCUAAUACCGCAUGAGAUCUACGGAUGAAAGCAGGGGAUCGCAAGACCUUGUGCUACUAGAGCGGCCGAUGGCAGAUUAGGUAGUUGGUGGGAUAAAAGCUUACCAAGCCGACGAUCUGUAGCUGGUCUGAGAGGACGAUCAGCCACACGGGGACUGAGACGCGGCCCAGAAUCCUACGGGAGGCAGCAGUGGGGAAGUUUGGUCAACGGGCGAAAGCCUGAUCCAGCAAUGCCGCGUGCAGGAUGGAGGCCUUCGGGUUGUAAACUGCUUUUGUACGGAACGAAAAGCCCGGGGUUAAGACCCUGGGGUCAUGACGGUACCGUAAGAAUAAGCACCGGCUAACUACGUGCCAGCCGCCGCCGUAA